rnacentral:lncRNA from 1 species
GGGACUUUGGAUUGCAUUCUUUACUUAGUUUAAUUCAUAUUUCUUAUUAGUGUUCUUCCUUGAUUAGUGUUUAUCAUAGUAAAAUCAAGGUGUCUAACUAGUUAAUAGUUAGAUUUUGUCUAUAUCUAUUUUAAACCCUAAUCUUCUAUCUUUUUGAUUCCGUGCAUUUUUGUAUUAUCUGUGUUUUUGAUAUGAUUUCGUAUCAUCUUGGUAUCCGAGCGGAGCGGAGGUUUUGGAUUGUUUUAUCAAUCCUUGGGUCUUUGUUUUGAUUAUCAAUUAAUCUGAAAAUUAAAAAAAAUUGAAAAUUCCCAAAAUAGCAGGUUACUGUUCGUCACUGUUUCAUUCAGAGAACUUGCUCUCCGUUCGAUUUUUGUCCUGAAUUUUGUGUUUUCUUCAUUAUCUAAGUUUGAACUACUGAUUUUGAGCUUCAAUUCGAAGAAGUAAGAUUGAAUUUGAGGUCGCAAUUGAAACCCGUCUGUGCCGAGUUCAACGAAGAAGCUAGGGUUCGUUUGAUAUCUGACAUUGGGGGUUCAAAAUCGAUUGGGUGUUCGAGAUUUAGUUAGAAACACUGAUACGAGGUGGAAUCUGAAGAUUUGAGUCCGAUUAACACUGAUUUGCUAGGGUUUUGGUUCGAAUUUUUGAACCGAGUUGUGCGAAGAAGUAGACCACUGGGGCCUUUCGUUUCAGGCCAUUGUUUGCACAAAUUGAACACUGAGGUUUGAUUUUGGGGUUUACUUGGAAGUCGAAUCCAAAGUUUGAGUUCGAGUUGGUGAAGGAUUGAGGGAGAAUCAAAUUCCCUGCCAUUGAAGCUCGAUGAACACGAAGAACAGUCGCGACCUUGUUGUGCUUCAGCUAGUCGACUGAAAAUUUGAAGUCGAGCGCCGUCACGCAAACACUUCAGUUUAUCUUCACGCACAGGAUUGAUUCUCUAAGCUGGUAUUUGCGAUUCGCUGUUGAAUUUUCUGCCAUUGAAGAACUCGAAGAACACUAGCUGCGAAUUUGAAGAACUUCACAGACUGAUUCGAAUCGAUUUGAGCAGCUGCGAAAUCAUCACGACGAAUCAGGUUUGAUUCCUUGAAGUUUAAAAUUGUGUUUCAUCUCUGAUUUCUGGAAAUUCUUAGUUGACUUUGGGAGUUAGUAGCUGUUCCGUUGAGAGUUAAUCUUGUUCUACUGCUGGUGAAUAUCGAAUGAGUUUUUGAGCUUGAACUGUUAAUUUCUCAUUUAUAAUUGACAUUCGGAACUGAAACUGAAGUUCAUCUUUGAGUUUUGAGAAAUUUGGUUGAAUUUGGCUUGGAUAUUAGAGUUUGUUUGGAGGUUUUGAACACAAAUAGGAUGGUUUCUGACCUGCUGGAUCCUUGAACUUUCUACUGUGAUUUUGGUUCAAAAAUCUGCUGAAAUUUUGCCAUUGCUGAAUUGAAUGCUCUUGUUUGUGAAAGCUACUGCCCAGCAGUUCAUAUCUGAUGUUUUGUCUUGAUCUGGUGGAGUGUUUGUUGGAUUUAGAACCGAACCACAGCUGGGAAAGUGGAGCGACACUAUUUGAGCUGAAUGAAGUUGAAUUUUGGUCGAAGAACACUUCUAAAAUUUGAACUGCAACGACGGAACAGCUGAAACUUUGCGAUUGUGUUUCAAUUUUUAUUCUCUCUCAUUUGAAUUGUGUUCGACGAACAGUUACAACUUCGAUAGAAUUAGAUCAAGCAUAUUCAUGAAAGGUAAUCGUCUUCACGAAUCCUUUGAACUACAAUUGUCUCAUGUGCUUGAAUUGAAUCAGAGUUUGAUUUCUGGGAUUCCAAACUGGUAGUUGAGAUCAGUUCUUAAGUCAUAAACUGAAAUCUCAUUUCACUUGUUGCUGGUGGAGCUGAUUUCUGCAUUAGUCGACAGCAGGAUUGGACCAGUUUCAGCAGGUUUUGACAGCAAACUUGCACCAAUUCUUGUAGAAAUUCCGGCUGUUCUGUCUGUAGUUUGUGCACUAGUAGCUGCACAGUUUCUGCAAUAUAAACCUUCAUUUUGGAGUAUGUUUGACAGCCAAAAUCUGUUCGUAUAGCUGGGUUCUAAUUCGUUGCUACUACUUGUUAUAGUGAGAAUUGUUCACUGAUUCAGUUGAGUUGUAAUACCUACUGAAAAGAGUUUCUGAACAGUAUUUUGAAGUCUCCGUUCAAGAGUGAGUUUGCAGAAUUCACAUAGCUACACUUUAGUUCUUCUGUCCAGGAAUUUGUUAGCCAAGGUUAAUAUCAAAUUUCAAUCAGGAAUUUCAGUUGUAGCCUCAGUUUAAAGCUUCAAUUACUGCAAAGUUUGAACUGCAUAUCUGCAGUUUAAGCUGUUUAGUUCGGAGAAAGAGUGCACCACUUUGGAGAACUGCAGUUGCUGAAAAUCUGCAGUAGUUUGGCAGCAAAUUUCUGCACAGUUCUAGCUGCAGCCUGUUCCAAAUUUCUGCACUUUGUCAGCAGAUAUUUCUGCUAUUUCCUGCUGCAUUUCUUGGCACCAAUUGGUACCAGUUAGCUGCUGAUUGUUAGUGAUGGUUCUUGAACAUUGUUGCUGAAUCAAUUUGAAAUUGUGAAACCUGCAACUUGCUUGAGAAUUUGUGGAACAAGUUGGUUGUUAGCUGAUUGAUUAAAGGUUGGUUUGAGUUGCGGCUGCAAGCUUGUUGAAGCUAAAAGUUUAGAAAGGUAGCAGUUUUAUGUCCAGUUUUAGAUUUCUGCACAACUGAGUUGCUAAGAAGAUUACCAACAGUCAGAAAUUCUGUCAGCAAUUGUGAAUCUGUCCAGGAUUAUAAAAUUGCCCAUUCUUUGCAAAUCUGGCCAGUUUUGCAACAAUGACCUGUUUUGCGAAUAUGACCAAAAUUUUGAAAAGUGUCUAGUUUUGUAGUUUCUUUUCUUUUCUUUCUUUCCAAUUUGUAGUAACCUGAACUCUUAACUAGAUUAACUUGAUAUUAGUUCAUAUUGAGUUUAAUUCUAGUUUCUUUGUGUGCUUCAUUUUAUUUCGUGCUUUUCUCUUUUAAUUUCGUUGUGAAUUGUUUGGCUCAUGUCCGUUAGCUUUUAGUUGUGCUUUCUUUGGUGUCGCAUAAAUUCCAUUCCGAACCGAUACUUGAUUGCCUACUUGGAUUGAUUUGAGAACGUUGGUUGUGAAGAGAACUUUUAGAUACCCUUGUAUGGAAAAAGGAUUGAGUAGUGAGUUCAAUUGAGCGAGGUCGCAAAAGCCUUUGACCUUUGAGUGUAAACACGAGUGUUGAGUGACAUAUAUAUUGAGUGAUACACUAAGGGAGUGAAUAGUGAGGUCUUAUUUUUGACUAACCAACUUUCUUGUUUUAAGUUUUCUUUUGUAGGUACAAGGAGUCAUAAGGGAGGUAUGGAUGGUUAUGUGGGUUCUUCUUAUGAAACUAAUUGUGCUUCUCCAAGUGUUGAAAUCUUUUAUGAUGAAAGUGGGAGAAAGAUAAAUUUGAGGCAUUAUGUAGCGAAUGUAGAAGGCUAUGAUGAUUGUUUGGUUGCUAUAAGUAAUCACUAUGCGACCAACUUUAUUGCUUCUUCCUUUGUUGAAUGGUUGGGAU